CCUACGGGAGGCAGCAGUGGGGAAUAUUGCACAAUGGAGGGAACUCUGAUGCAGCAACGCCGCGUGAGUGAAGAAGUAAUUCGUUAUGUAAAGCUCUAUCAGCAGGGAAGAAGGUGACGGUACCUGAACAAGAAGCUCCGGCUAAAUACGUGCCAGCAGCCGCGGUAAUACGUAUGGGGCAAGCGUUAUCCGGAUUUACUGGGUGUAAAGGGAGAGUAGGUGGCAGAGCAAGUCCGAAGUGAAAACCCAAAGCUCAACCAUGGGAAUGCUUUAGAAACUGCGCGGCUAGAGUGCAGGAGGGGUAAGUGGAAUUCUUAGUGUAGCGGUGAAAUGCGUAGAUAUUAGGAGGAACACCAGUGGCGAAGGCGGCUUACUGGACUGUAACUGACGCUGAGGCUCGAAGGCGUGGGGAGCAAACAGGAUUAGAUACCCCAGUAGUC
rnacentral:rRNA from 1 species